rnacentral:rRNA from 1 species
AUUGAACGCUGGCGGCAUGCCUUACACAUGCAAGUCGAACGGUAACAGGUCUUCGGAUGCUGACGAGUGGCGAACGGGUGAGUAAUACAUCGGAACGUGCCUAGUAGUGGGGGAUAACUACUCGAAAGAGUGGCUAAUACCGCAUGAGAUCUACGGAUGAAAGCAGGGGAUCGCAAGACCUUGUGCUACUAGAGCGGCCGAUGGCAGAUUAGGUAGUUGGUGGGAUAAAAGCUUACCAAGCCGACGAUCUGUAGCUGGUCUGAGAGGACGAUCAGCCACACUGGGACUGAGACGCGGCCCAGACUCCUACGGGAGGCAGCAGUGGGGAAUUUUGGACAAUGGGCGAAAGCCUGAUCCAGCAAUGCGGCGUGCAGGAUGAAGGCCUUUGGGUUGUAUACUGCUUUUGUACGGAACGAAAAGCCCCGGGUUAAUACCCUGGGGUCAUGACGGUACCGUAAGAAUAAGCACCGGCUAACUACGUGCCAGCAGCCGCCGUAA